CACACGUUUUGGAGCAUAUUCCAAGCCAAUAUAUCACACUUUAGAACCCCAUCGAGCAGGAAAGUCGGAAUUUAAAAGGCAAGUAAAUCUUUCAAACUGUUGUAGCAUUUAAAUUAUGUGGUACAUUUAACUACUGAACCUUUCAGAAUAUUGUCGAAUUGGGCAUGGCAUGGAAUAAUAGUGAAUUUAACAUACUGACAAAAUCUCAAAUGCAGUAAAUUUCAAGGCUAAAUAUUGGAAAUUCCACUGGAAAUAUGGCGUUUUACCGCCAUGCAUACAUAGCUAUUCACAGCCCAAGAAUUACUCAGAAUUACAACAGAUUGAUAACGUG